CAGAUCCCCUACCACAAAGAGAUCCUCAACCACAGAGAGGUUGAAUUGUAGCCAGCUAAUUACAACCGUCAAUUUUUAUUUCGUACGAACCUUCCCGCGAAAAGCGAAGGACGCAUUGGCCGUCGAUCUGUCCUAGAAUCCUAAAUCGGAACUGCUUACUGUCCAAGGCACCUGUAUUAUUAGGGUUCCUUCUUCCAUCCCAACUGUGCCCAUUUUUGGUUUUGCUAAUCUUUGUGGAUUUCUGUUAGCAAGACAGAAUCGCGAUGGCUUGCUUUUCUUUUGGAAUCAUUCGGCGGAACACCGACAUAUGCUUCAGAGAAUCUCAACUAUGGCGGAUCGAAGCGAGAUUUCAAUGCAGAGAGAAUUUGAUGUAGCAUAGAGAUCUGAAUCAAAGGUCUUGUUUUUGUGGUCUGUGUUUCGAAUGUUUCUUGGUUAUCAGACCUUUGCCAUGACAGGUGCCCUUGCUUGGCAGGUCACAAACAGUAAUAAAAAAAUAUCAUUUGUUUGAGGGGAGAUCGCACGGGGAUUUUGCCCGGGUUCUCCCCUCUGGUGUGCCGUGUCCUGCUUUUCUUUCUCUUGAUAUCUUCCUACUCGCUCCUGCGCACUCAAAUUGGAAUCCGAAUUAUCAACUCGAUCUCAAAAGUUUGCUAUGAGGGAUUUUAUCUGCAUUACUAGUUGAUAAUCACACUUUGGAAGGUGAAAGGACCUUCAUUUCAUCGAGGUUCGUAUUUUUGAUCGGAUACUGAAUUUUGUUUACCACUUUGUCAGGCUAUGCACUUCAAUUUGGCAUUGGGUUAUCAUUUCUAAUUCAAAUUCCAUUCCGAUUGUUACCCUUUCUGAAUAACGCACAGCAAUGACACACAGAGUUUGGAAAUUUCAAAAUCUUUUGUACAGGAUGCCAUGGAUUUAAACAAUGUACUAAUAUCUAUUAUGUAUUACCUAUCUCUCCGCCCAUGGAUUCAUGUUGUGGUUAUUCAAAAAUACCCCAUUAUGAUUCAUUUCAUACUGCGCAACAUGAAAGGAGAAUGAAACUUGAAGCUUCUGCCAAGGCAGGACAUGGAUCCUUUCUACUCUUGAUAGCCAGUUAUAAUAUUUGAAUCUAUAUUCUGUUAUGUAUGGUCAUUGGCAUUGGUGUUUAGUCCCUUGACUUCUAUAGCAGUCCAUGGUGACAUGAUGAAAAAGGAAAUGGAGGCAAGUGCUCUGCUGGGGUCCAUGGCUUUGCAGUGAAGCUUAAUGUGGAAUGUGAAGAAACCAUGUGAUCCGAUGAUGUUUCAAUCUCUUGGGAGUUGGAUGAAACAACUCUAAUGGCAUCAACACUGAAUAACUCAUUAUCUUGAAGCCAACAAAGAUCAAGGGGGAGGAGGGGAUCUUCUUUCUCCGCAAUCCAUUCAUCAUCCGAAUCAAUCUCCUCUACCAAAAUCGGAUCAACAUUUUGUUUCCUUUGUAGACUUCGCUCUCUCAAUCUAGUGUUGUAUCUUACAUACACUAGAGCAUUCAACCUUUGAUGUUCAAGUCUAUUUCUUUUUUUUGUAUGGAUCUACAAAUAAUAAAAGUAUCAAAUUUAUGUGUUAAAAUGAAA